rnacentral:rRNA from 1 species
UACAGAGGUCUCAACUGUUGUUCGGAUUCAUUGGGCGUAAAGGGUGCGUAGGCGGUCGCGCAAGUCGGAUGUGAAAUCUCAGGGCUCAACCCUGAAACUGCAUUCGAUACUGCGUGGCUAGAGUGCUGGAGAGGAGACUGGAAUUUACGGUGUAGCAGUGAAAUGCGUAGAUAUCGUAAGGAAGACCAGUGGCGAAGGCGAGUCUCUGGACAGCAACUGACGCUGAGGCACGAAGGCCAGGGGAGCAAACGGG